AAAACGACUCUCGGCAACGGAUAUCUCGGCUCUCGCAUCGAUGAAGAACGUAGCGAAAUGCGAUACUUGGUGUGAAUUGCAGAAUCCCGUGAACCAUCGAGUCUUUGAACGCAAGUUGCGCCCAAAGCCUUUAGGCCGAGGGCACGCCUGCCUGGGCGUCACA
rnacentral:rRNA from 1 species